rnacentral:lncRNA from 1 species
CAUAUUUUUAGCUCGCCACACCAUAGCAUGAUCUAUGACCACGAUCGUACUUCGCCACGAUGAUCCUAGAAUAUCCUAUGUGUUUUCGGGGCAUCAUCCACAGGAAGUGGUCAUCUCACGUCUUUCAAACAAGGUAGGAACAACAGAAAUAGAUAAAAUUGUCUAACAUAUUAAUUCAUGUUUCAUGUAUCCAUUCUUGUUUUUCAUGCCAUGUCAACAAUUUCGUGUAAUCUCUUGUCGUAUCAAUUGCAUUUCAACUAAGCCUUUACACGAUGCAUAAAAACAAUCGUCACAAUUAAUAUCUCAUCACACCCUUAAAAUCAUGCCACAAUCACAAAAUAAAAUUAAUA